CUUCUGUUUAUUUGACAGCAUAUGAUAAAUUGGCCUUAUAUACUAAUAUAUAUAUAUAUAUAUAUAUAUAUAUUUAUUUAUUUAUUUAUAAAAGAUAUUAUAAUGCCAGCUUAGAUAUUAAAUAUAUAUAAAUUUCUUUUUAUAAAUGAUUAUGUUAAUUUUUUCUUUAAAAAACCCAAAAAUAUUAAAAUAUAUAAGAAAUUUGCAUGUCUAAAGUUUUUUAAAGAAUCAGCAAAUUCUAGAAAGAGAAAUAUUUAGUUAGAAACUUUGCCCAUCCACCAAUUUUUUACUCAAAUAUCCUAAUUUUUCAAAACAAUUCUCAAAAUAACUAAGUUUUCAAAAUAAUUCCUAGAUUACCCUAGGUUAUAUAUAUAUAUACGGCAUAAACGCUAGACCAAUUGACGCUUACCUUUAAACAUUAAGUGGAGGCUGCAAUUGGAUUGGCUACGGUACAUGGUGUUGUCAAUCCAAUUGGCGUCCAUGUGUUAUUUUUAAGAGGAGGCGCCAAUUGGUUUGGCGCCUCAGUGUAAUUUGAAUUUUUUUUGUUAUAAAUAGAUGUGUUGUUUGAUUCAUUUUUCCACAUCUCAUUUCGUCAUAUUGCAAACAUGUUUGGUGUUCGUUGUCGCUAUGGAUAAAUGAUUUAUUCGAGAGACAAGCCUCCGAUAUUGAUGCUCUUCUGGAACAUCUGUAGUUUCAAUCAAUUGAAGAGAGAACUGGUUCGUUGGUUAGAUAGAUCGUUGGUUAGAUAGAAAAAUACCAAAAGGGGAAAAAUUAGAAGUAUUGAGAGACUCGAUAGUAUAUUUGGUUGGGUGCGAGUCAAAACUGAUAAGGAUGCUAGGAAAAUGAUGUUUGGAUGAGAUGACAUCAGUUUGAUUGUUGUAAUCAGUUAGAAAUGCUUUGUUUUAAGUUUGCUUAUGAUGUAGUGAUGUUUGUUGUUAACCUUGUUGUAACAAAAAGAUAAUGAUAUAUAAAAAUCCAAGGUUACAAAAAUUAAAAGGAGAUAUUAUCUUAUGAUGCAGAUGUUUCUCCUGGAUUGGGACAAUUGUUCUUAUUGUGUCCUGGUUGCCGACAUAUAUUACAUAGUCUUAUCAUUUUAUCAGUCGUAUUCAUUUUUGUUCUAAUACGCGUGUUUUUUGGCCGUUCUUUUUUCUUUCUUCGCAUCUCAUCGUUGUGCCAAACUAUGUCACCUUCAUAUGGAGGUUAGUAUUCCUCCAUUGGUAGCACUCAGAAGCUUUUGUUAUAGACAUUCAUGACGGUAAUGGCCUUGUAAACAUCAUAUAGAUGGCUCUAAGUGUCAUGUCGAGUAUGUGCGCAUGCCGCAAUGACAUGGAAGCAAGGAAUACGGAAGGCCUGGAACUUUCCACAAUCGCACCAACUUCUGUUUAAUUUGACAGCAUAUGAUAAAUUUGGCCUCCCUUCAUUGUGGUCCAUUAUUUCCUGUACACUGAAAUUUUGCGUAUGAUGGUCAAAGACUUUAACCGCGUAUGUGUUAGCUUUGAUACUUUCCUCUUUCAUCACUUUCAUACAACAUUCACUGAAUAUUUCACCCGACAUUAAUACUGCACUCCAUCUUUCACCUCUGGUUGUGAAGGUAUAAGCCAACCUAAAAUAGGUUGUUCUAACCAAAACGGUUAUUGGUAGAUUUCUAAUGCCUUUGAAUACGUCUUCCAUGCAUUACACAAGGUUUGUUGUCAUGUGGCCCUAUCGACAGCCUCUGUCAAAUGCCCUUGUCCACUGCUCUACUAGUAUGUUAUCCACCCAUCUUCCUGCAUCUGCAUUAGACAAUCUAAUUUCAUCACGGUAAUGUUGAAAUGACGGCUGAGUUAGAGCAUACCCAACAUUCACCACUUUUUUGAGAAGGUUCUUAUCUUUGAUUGCACGCAUGAAGUUUUGUAUGAUAUGUCUAAUGCAAUAGACAUGGGUAGAAGGAGAUUAUGCCAUUUGUUAUCAUGGGUAUUGUAAGCACUCUCAAUUAUAACAUGUCUGUAAGACCCCAAUUUUGGCCCUAAGAUCCCUCAUGGCCCAUAUCAUCUCAUAUCAUAGCCUCAAGGAUCAUUGCAUGCCUUUGCUUCCCUCCUAGUGGGUAGGUUGCCUUGUGUGUAUGGUUCUUGAAUCACCAAGCAAUGUUUUGCAUUUGUAUAUUAUUGCUUUUCAUAUGUUUAUCAUCCAAAAGUACAAAAAUAUUGUCAGUCUAACCUUGUUGCUUGCAGUUGAAGCAAUAUCAGCAAUUAGGUCAAAGACAGUCAAUCAGUCAGUCAAAGCAAUGGAUGGUGCCAUUCUUGCAGAAUUUGGGCACCAUGAUCAAUAAUCAAGAGUUCAUACAACUUGGGACAUCAUUGGAAAUCAAGGUCUCAAGGGAUUAGGGUUUGAAAUUCAUCAGAAGUGGUUCAAUCAUGCAAAACCCUAGAAAGUCAACAGAAAGUCAAACACUUGGUCAACUGGCCAUUUAAUACAGUGAUUUGAUGGAUGGAAUUGAUAUUGAAGGAGUUCAUUCAUGCUUAUAAUAAGCCCAUAUGUCAUGUCCAACCUCAUCAUGGAAGAAUUGAAGUCAAACAGAAAAUUUCAGAAAUGGAAACUGGACCUGUAACUGAAACCUGCCAUAAAUGGAAAGUCUUGAUCCUCAAACUUACAUCAUGAUACAAAGCUUCAAAUGAAUUUUUGCCCAACAUGAAAGUUGAAGAUCUUGUUCUCACCAUUUCCAAAAAGUCCAAGAACUCUCAAUUCCCAUGUGUGGGUUGGCAAGUUAUGAUCGAAUCGAUUUCGGAAAAUCUUGAACUUCAAAGGGCCAUAUCUCUCAAACCGUUUGGCCAAUUUUGGUGGGGUUUUUUCCUACAAGUCACAAUUUGAUCCCUCUUUCCAAAAUAUAAAUUUCAUGAGCCAAAACUUCACCAAUCAAAAUGGGCAUUUUUUGACCUAUUUCAUUUAAAUGCAGUUUGACCAAGAGUUGACUUUUUGAUAUAACAUUUUUUCAACAAUUUGGCCAAUUGGAACACUCAGAAAUAUCAUUUAGAAUGUGUUUGCAAGCCCAUUUAUGCAGUAAUAAGGCCAUUGUUGGUUGCUUGAAUUGUAAGGAAGUACAAUUUACACAUUCCAUCCAUACUUGCAUUUUAGCCAUGCCUUGUACCUCAAAAGGACAGCAAUUAUGCAGCAUUUUUUCUGUCACUUAUGAACACAUUUUGCAGCCAUAACCAACAGAAAAGUCAUUGCCUUAUGUUGCUUGGAUUUUGCAAAGAAAGUACAUUGACUCCAUGCUAGCCACAUCUUGCAAUUGCCUUUGUACAGUCACAUUGCAAGAUUUUUCCCUCAUUUCCUGUCAUGAAAUUAGCAGCCUACCACAACAACUUGACACCUCAAGAAACCUUGCCUUGCCUUGCAUUUCCUAAAAAAAUCCUGUCAAAAACUCCACAGUUACAAGACAGCAAGAAACUUGAUUUUUUUUUCUGUCAAAAAACCAAUGUCUAAUAGCAGCCAUCAAAAACAUACAAACAAUAGAAAUCCACUCAGGCCUAAAAACCUUUGGUGCAUUUUCAUUUUCUGUCCAAAACUCAAGGAGAACCAAAAGCUGGCUUGGCUUGAGGCAUAUUUUCCAUGCAUUUUCUGUCAUGGACCAACCUAAGGUGGCAGCCACAAACCAGAAAACUUGCAUCCUUGGAAAACAGUUUUUCACCGAUCAAUCUCAUCUGCCACGGCAGCUUUGUUUCUGUUUUUCAAAAGCACCCUCUCCCACUUGGCAGCUUGGAGUUAGAGGCGAAUCAAGCGAAUUUGAGCUCAAGUCCUUUUGGAAUUCAUCAUUGGGACCAAUCAUCUUCAUCUGUUUCAAGCUUAUACCACCAAAACAGCACUGCAUCUUCUUCUGCUCUCAACUUGGUCAUUUUUCGGAAUCUUUCAUUUUGUCAAACCCUCACUGUUUAGUGUUAGUUCUUAACAUGCUGAAGUUGAUGCCCCUUGUUCUCAUAUGAAUUCGGUUGGCUAACUUGCAGAAAUUCUUGGAAAAUAAGUUUUAUGCACAUAUGCUCUUUUGUUCUGAAUCUCACUAUGGUGUGUUAUACUAAAAAAUGUGUUUAGUUGUCCUCACCACUGCUUACAUGCUUCCAUUGAUAUGCUUACCAACCUUUCUGGAAAAUCUCAUGCAUGAACAUAUGUUUGAUGAUUGAUGUUUUUUCUUUGGAUUCUAUGGAUUUUGUUUGUGUUUUGGAAAAUGGAUGCUGGAUUGUUACUCACCAUGCCCUGAUGAAACACAGUAGCAUGAUGAUUGAUUGAAGUUCUGGCAUUGUGAAAAUUCGAUGCAUGAUGAUGAUGAAUGAAUACUGCUGCUGUUAAACAUAUACUUCUGCCCAGAAAUUUUCAAUGUUUGUGCUUGGUUGUUGCUGAUGUGAAAUGUUACUCUGAAAUACCAAUAUCAUGCUAUUGGUGUGGCUUUGCUCGAAACUUGUUUUGAAUGUUGAUAGACAUUGAUGUUGAACAUAUGUCUGUUGUUGUCUUGAAUCAUAAACCUGCCCAGAAAUCCAAUGGAUUAUGUUCUGUUGUUUGUGUUAAGAUACCACCAUUGAAUGUUGAUGCUAUGUUCUGUUGUAGAGGCUGCUGUCGAGUUUUGUGUUGAUGUUUGAUAUGAAAAUGCUGAAGCAUGGCUGCUCAAAACCCUAAGGGUUUUUGAAAACUCAGAAAAAAUUUGAGUUGUUGGCCUUCCCGUGCACUGUUCCAUUGGCUGAGAGCCAAAUAGGAACAUUCCAUUUCCCUUUGCCAAAACGCGCAGCUUUGAUAAAGUGAGCGCCUAAUUACACUAAUGCCACGGACGUUGACUUUGUCUUUGACUCCCAUCUUGCCAUGCAUUUUUGUUCAAUGCUUGCCUCAAAUUCAUCCAACUUCAACAAAUUAUCUUCUCUUUCCAAUUGUCAUGCCAAAAAUUAAUGAAAAAUUUUUUUUCUAUGUUCAGAUGUGUUCUAUUUUAAUUGUGAUUUUUAUUAAUUUUCCAUUGGCUGGAAUUUUUAAUUGAUAUAAAUAUUUUCUUGAUAUGUAUGCAUAAAUGAUACAUUGAGGCCAUUCCUUGUUGUGAAAUUGGUCGUUGCAUGCCAUAUCCCAAUGAGUUGAAAUUUUUGUGAGAAUAGACUCACCUCCACUUCAUAUUUCCGAGUAUGAGAAUGUUUGGUGCAUUUAUCAUUUGUGGACUUGAGAAGUUAUGGAUUUUUCUGAGUUAUGUGUUACAUUUGGUGCUAUAUGAAUGUAUGCAUUUUUCCCAAUUUUUGUUCAAAAUACUCAUCUGCUCCAAAUCACUUGAAAUUNNNNNNNNNNNNNNNNNNNNNNNNNNNNNNNNNNNNNNNNNNNNNNNNNNNNNNNNNNNNNNNNNNNNNNNNNNNNNNNNNNNNNNNNNNNNNNNNNNNNGGGGGGGCGGGGGGGGGGGGGGCGGCGCGCUUCUAAAAGCGCUCUUCUAAGGCUUUCAAAAGCGCCUUAAUAAAACUGCGAAAUGGACAUGACAUAGAGAGGCUUUUUAGAAAGCCGCCCUCUAAGGUACCCUUAGAGGGCGCGUAAUUAAAAAGCGUCCUCUAUUGGUGUCCCUCCAUUUCCUCAUUAGUUUUCGCUUCACUUGGAGAGUGCGCGUGCUUACAAAAGCGCCCUCUAAAGUGCGCUGUCUAUUCCAAUAGUAUGCUCCUUAUUUUUUCUCUUCACUUUAGAGUGCGCUUUUGUAAUAAAGCGCCCUCUAAGGGGCGCUGUCUAUUCCAGUUUUUGGCGUAGUGAGAUGAUGAUGUAGAUGCCACAACUUUCAAGCAGUUGGUUUGCUCUAUGAGGUAUUUGUGUAAUACAUACCUGAUAUUUUCUGUGCAACUGGAAUGGUUAGUAGGUUUAUGAGUAAACCAAAAUGGUCUCAUUACCAAGCUCCUAUCAGGAUUCUGAGGUAUAUAAAGGGGAUUCUGAAGUAUGGAGUUUUGUUCCUUUCUGGAGAAAAAGCUAAUUCAUAGCUGAUGUGUUACUCAGACUCUGAUUGGUGUGGAGACAAAGUUGACAGAAGAAGUACUUAUGGAUAUUUGUUUAAGCAUCUGGAAAGUCAUAUUUCUUGGUGUUCCAAGAAGCAAUCAUAUGUUUCUUUGUCAAUCUGUGAAGCUGAAUAUAUUGCAGAUGACGUGGCUGCAUGUCAAGUUAUUUGACUUCUGAGUUUACCGCAGGAUCGAAAGAUCAAGCUAAACAAGCAUCUGAAGACGAUGAUUGAUAACAAGUCUGCAAUCAAUCUUGCCAAGAAUCCAGUGAUCGAUGCAUGGGAGAAGCAAUCAUAUUGAGACUAAGUAUCACUUUCUGAGAAGUUAGGUUCAUAAUGGAGUGCUAGAAGUUAUGCACUCUAGCACACAUAAGCAACUGACAUAUGUUCUGAUGAAAGCGAUCAAGACUGAUCAAUUUCUCCACUUGAGGAAUGAAAUUUGUGUUAUUAGUUUUGAUUAGUUAAAUCCUGAAUUAAGGGAUGAUGUUGAAGGAUAAUUCAGUAUUUUAGUAUUUUGCAUAUGUGUCAUUAUUGUUUGUGUAUAUAAGUAGUAGUGUGCUUAGUUAUUAAGUACUGUAACAGCUUGUGCACAGCAGAGCAGUGUGAGUGCAGCGUGUGUUCGAUCAAUUUUUCAUAACCGUUUUAGCAGAGUAGUUGGUGUAACACCCCGAUAAUAAUAUGUAUUUAUUUAAAUUAAAUUAAUAAUAUGUUUAUUAAUUUAAUUAGAAUAUUUGAAUUAUUAUUAUUAUUUGGGCACUAAUUAAUUCGGGAGAAUACGUUACGUGGAAUAUUAUAUAUUGGAGUUAUAAGUUGGAAUAAUAAGUAUAGUUCCCAAUUUUUUGGAAAAAGGUUUUCACGUGAAAAGGGAAAAGAGGCAGAAAGGGCAAAAAGAGAACACAAAGAACGAAGGUUGAAGGAAGGAGACUAGCUGGAGCUCAGAGGCUGCGCCGGAUUAACUCAGGUAAGGGGGGUUUAUCAUCGAUUAACGGGUAUUAUGGGAUGAUAUGUACUGGGUAGUGAUAGACCAUUUUGUUUACCUGUGAUUGGAUUGAUAUAUGUUGAAUUGUGAACUUUGAAGAUGAACGAAAAUUUUGGAUAUAAUUGACGAAAUCGUAGGAAUUAGAGUAGAAAGGUUAGAAAUUUGUGAAAUCGAAAGGGUAUGAUUCGUGUUAGAUGAGAUGAAUGUAUAGUUGUGGUGGAAUUUGGACUGUAGAAGGUUGAAUUGGGUAGAUCUCGUAGCAGAGAAAGCCAUUGCAGAUCGAGAAUUCUGAUCUCUGUCAUACGCGUAUGCACUAGGCAAUACGCGUAUAGAAUGUUGGUACGCGUAGGGGGAAGCCUUACGGCGUAUGGGUGGAAAGUGGCAUUUUUGAACGUGAAUUGGUCUCUGUUGGUACGCGUAAUGGGAAGUUGUUACGCGUAGCGUACGCGUAUGGGACAGGUGAACGCCGUUGGAGUUGGGCGAGGAAAUGCGGCAAUACGCGUAUGAGAGUAGGCAUUACGCGUAUGGAGUUGGCCAUUUGUUGGCAAUACGCGUAUGGCAUGGGCAGUACUGACGAUGGGCCAGAUGUUGGGAUUUUCAUUGAACUGUUGUUGUGCAGGUUUUGGUUGUUUAGGCUGAGUGAUGUACUAGCUGAGAUAUGAUGUUGUAGGGGUCAAUCUCCGUUGUUUUGAGUGGUAUAUAGUGGUAUUAGUAGAGGGCUAAUACGUGGUUGAUUAUAUGGCAUAUGAUGUAUGUGCUUUGUGAAUAAUUAUGUGUGAGAGUGUGAUGGUAUACAUGGUUAAAUGUGAAUGUAAGCUUGGAAUAGACUGUAUUUAUGGCUAGAGUGGAGCAUGUGUGCUAUUCUGAUUAUUGUUGAUGUUCAUUGCUAGGUGAUAGCAUGCAUGUUGUGCCCAUUGGGGUGUAGCUAAUUCCCAUGGUGAGGAAUUAGUGAGUAUAUCAUUUGAUUGUUGUGCUUGUUGAUGUUGCAUGCUAUGGUGAUUAGCGUGCAUUUUAUGGCCAUUUGGGGUGGUAGCUAAUUCUCCUAUGGGAGAGAGUUAGUGAGUGAGUCACUAUGUCUCAAAUGAGUGGGACUAGUGAGCUGGGUAGCCGUGCCUGAUUUGGGACGGUGAGGUUGAACUAUAUUUUCACAAAUAGUCGGUACCCGCUGCCAUGAAGAGUUCAUUGCAUAAUGAAUGUAUGUCAUAUGAUAUGAAGGAUGUACCAGUAUCAUUAUGUGUGUUGUGUGUUGUUUUGUUAAUGAUGAAUAUGAUGGAGAUUUGUACUGUUGUAUUGAUGGAAUGGAUAUACUGUUGCGGAAUGCGUAGUCUAAUUAGGGUGUGAACUAAUGUGUUAAUACUUGGCAUUAACAUUUUUCUUUAAAUGCUUAUUAUAUUGAUUGAGGAACUCACCCUUGACGCCUAUUUUCAGGUAACAGAAAAUGAGUUGAGUAGAGCUAAUGCUUGGACUAUGUUAUUCUUAGGGUCAAUGCUCUGAUAGAUGUAACAUCGGGAGUGAUGUCUUAAUUGAUUUGGAUAUUGCGUUGUUAGAUGAUACAUGUAUUGUGUACAUGUUUUACUUGAGGUUAUUUUUUCCGCUGCGAAUUAUGCAAAAAAUCUAUUUGAUUAAAUAAAAUGAAGUGCAUUGACAGGCUACUUUGAUAAUUUUGUGAAAAUGAUUUGUGUGACACCUCGCGGGCAUAAGACUUGAUGAAUUAUUGUAUAAUAUAAUAAUAUGGGUGUAUUAGAAGGGUGUUACAUUAAGGGUGAUCAGAAGCAUAGUCCGGUCGGUCGAGUCGUAGUUUCUGUUUCCCCUAGUACGGGAUGAGGUGUUGUGUACCCUAAUCAAGUUACUUAUUGGUUUAGCUUGUUGGGUUUCUAGAAAUAGUAGUAUGGGCUGGUGAAGAGGUAGAGUAAUGCUGCAUAUGCUGAGGCCUGGUGAGCAUAGCUGGAGUACUGGAGGAAUAUCCAAAUGUGUGGGAAGGAGCUGCCUCGUCAGUUGAAUGAGUUCCAAGAAAACAAUCCUCCAGUUCAAAGAGAGCCAUACGAUCCAGAUGGCUCUCAAAGUGGUGAAGGAGAUAGAGAGGAUCUUUCAAGAGUAACUGAGUCGGAGGAAUCCAGAAGGUCAGGUUCGGUACACAAUAUGCUGUCAGAAGAAGCUGGCAUGAUUGUGGUGGUUCGCACCGUCGCACUGAGUUUGGAAGCUGCCGAGAUGCCUGAAUUACUUGGACGGUAUGUCCAGAGAAGAGAUUCGAGGAAGUAUUUUCCCUAGAGAAAUGUCAGUGGAAAGAAAGAGAGUAGAGUUCUUGAAUUGAAAGCAGGGUUAAUACCCGGUCUGUCCUCGCGAGUGUAUGCUGUCCUAGUUCACAGAGUGUCUAAAGUAUUAUACCCUCUAAUGCUGAGCUGACUGGGGAAUAUAAAGUGUCGGGAAGUUGAGAACGGGGUUGCGUCCCGUAGAUCAAGACAAGACGAUUGGAAUCAGAGGAUUAGAUGUUUCUGAUUUGUUGACUGUUGCAGGAUUUUUGUAGCAGAUCUCAGGCUAGGAGCGGUAGAGUUACUCUAGUAGGGGUUGAUAGAAGGGCAAGAAUCAGAUUGAUCGGUUAGGGAAACGGUGCUCUGGCAAAGGUUUCAAGAACAGAGUGGGAUGAAGAGGCCUCUAGUGGAGGGAUGACCUAGUGCUCUGCACAAUGUUACAGAUGUGGUCAGGCUGGAACACGUAUCCAUGCGAGGUGUACUAGUGAUAGAAGUAGUGUUUCAAAAGUGUGGAAGGUGUCCAUUUGCGCGAGAGUUGCCGUUGAAGACUGGACUUGUUUUAACUGGAGGUUGGGUCAUAUCAGCCACAGUGUCCAAAGCGACAGAAAGAAAAUCCAGUUCAGGCAGCAAAGGUUUUGCUUUAAUCAGGUUCUGAGAGCUUCGACAGAUGAUCGUUUGAUCCGGAUAGUACGUGUUAUAUUCAAUGGCUUUCCUCUGGCUAUAUAUUGACACAGGUGCUACUCCAUUACUUUAUAUCGAUGGAUGUGCUGUGAAGCUUAAGUUAAGAAAAUAUCUGAGAUGCUUGAAGGAUGGUAUAUGAUACCCCUGCGAAGGGCAGUACUACUACUUCGCCGUCUGUUUGAGGUCCUUGAGUAAGUUCCUUUGGAAGUAUGUUGUAUGGAGGAGCGCUGUUGCGAUACCUUGGUCGAUUAGUCAAUUGAUGUUCUGGGUAUGAACUGGUUGGUGAUUAACCGGCUUUCUAGUCAAUCGUUUGAUAAUAGACUGUGAUAUUCCCUGAGAUUGAGGAAGAAAGAGUUUGGUUUCUUUCAGCGCCAGGUGAAAGGGGAAGUGGCCAGGAUGGGGGGCAACGUUGUUUAGCGUUACGACUUUGAGGCUAAAGGAAUAAACUGGUUAUUAUGGCGAUCGUGCAUUGGAUGUGUUGGAUUGUCCUGAAUGUAUUUCCGGAAGAAUGAAUGAAUCUGCCACCUGAGAAGGAGUUAGUCUCGAUUGGAUGGUACGGUACUUCAGCGUAGACCGAUAGUCGAUGCGUCCGUAUCGUAUGUCGCGUGUUUGAGUCUGCUGAAUUGAAGAGCAAGUGGAAGAGUUGUGGAUGUAGAAAAAUUAAUUCGUCCGAGAUGUGUACACCAGUGGGUGCCACAGUGUUUUGUUAAGAAGAAAGAAGUUACUAUAUGGUUGUGUGUGGACUACAAGGCACUGAAUAAAGUGACUGCAAGAAUCGUAUCCUUUAACCGGGAUUGAUGAGUCUUGAUGGAUCAGAUUGUUGGUGCCAAGUGUUGCUCACAAAUAAGAUUUGAGAUCUGGUAUCAUCAAGAUACGAUGGUAAAAAAUGAAGAUAGCUCAGAAGUCUUUUCAGAAACAGGGUAAUGGACAUAUGAGUAUCUGUGAGCCCUAUUGGUGGACAAUAAAGCGCUGGAGUCAUUAUGAGUGAGAUAAUGAUUAGAAUGUUCCAUCCCUCUAGAAUCAGUUUGUGUAGGUUUAAAUUGAUGACAUUUGGUGUAUUCCGAAAUCCUGAAGAAGACAUGCGAGCGAUUUGAGAAGUGGUGUUGGAAGUCUACGAAAAGAAGUGUAUUGCUAAAGCCUGUCGAAGUGUGAAUAUUGGUUAGAAGAAGCUUAGUCUUUCUUGGGCAUUGAGUGAAGUUUCAAAGGGUGGUGUGCCGAUGUUUAAUCUUCUAAAGAAUAGAAGCGGAUCUGGUGAAGCCUCCGAAGUCAGUUUCUGAGAUAAAUAAGAGUUUCCUUGGUGGCUGGUUAAUUAUGAUGAAAAUUCAGGUGAGGAUUUCCAAAGUGGCGUUACCGUGACAUAUGUUACCAAGAAGGGCAAGCUUUUUGGGCACUCGCAAAUGUAAGAAAGGUUUCCAAGAGUAAAAGAAAGUUGACUACUUGCGCUCCUACGAUAUGACCUUGAUUGCGGGCUGAGUUCCGUCGUGCACCAUCUUGCAGCUUACUGGAUGCGUCUGGUUGGAGUUUUGGGUGGCCCGUUUGAUGCAGGUAAUAAGCAGGUUAACUGGCCCUGCGCUGUGCGUCGGUGCCUGCUGAGUGUGGUGGGGCUGUUUGUGGUGGUUUUUGCGUUGUGCUCGGCUUGUUGUUUUCAUAGCCUGAUGCUCGAGACAGCACAGGGUUAUUGGAGCUUGAACGUAUCGACACCGCUUUUUUGUUCGUUCACCGUGCAUUGACGAGGUUGGCCGCGUUGGUAUGUUUCUGAGUUGGGAGUGCAUUAUAGUAAAUGGGUCAUAGAUGUGAAGUUUUCAGUCGAUCCAUAAAAUUUAAAGUAGUGUUUUGAGUCUCAGAAAGAGCGAAAAGAACGAGGAGACUGUUAGAUUUACUGAAGAGAUAUGAUGUGUUGAACCUUAACCAACCGGUAAAGCAAAUGAGUGGCUGAUGGCGCUGAGCUCUCGGAAAUCCUUUACAAUACGUCUAGUCUCAUCGGCCUUAAGAGCUGUUGGUUGGAAGUUGAGCGAGUUUAAGAUGAUUGAUUCAGUGUGUAUAAGUACUUCCACAUAUAGUGUAUGAAUCUGGCGAGAGUUCGAACGAGAAAUCAUUCGGAUGAAUCAUAGAGUGAUCACGAAAUCCGAUAUCGUUUGGUAAAGUAUGACUCUAUGAAUCCAAGCGAGUCAAGGUGGUGAAUUCAGGUUGAUUUUAGGAUAGGUGUUCUUGAGAUUGGUGACUCGAGGUUGUAGCUCCGGAUAUGUAUUGUCCCUUUACUUUUGGUGAGCUUAAGAAGAGUAUUCUUGAACGAGGACAUCGUAGUGGUUGAGUAUUCAUCCUGGGGCUACGAAGACGUAUUCAUGUUGAAAAGAUUAUUCGGUGGCCGCGGAAUGAAAAGAGAAAUUGCCAAGUUUUGUGUAUUCCUGUUUGACUUGUCAGAAGUCAAAGAUUAGCACAGAAGCCGUCUGGGCUAAUGCAACCGUUGGCUAUUCCAGAGUGGAAGUGGAUAGUAUCAGUAUGGAUGUUGUUUCGGGUUACCGAGGACAGAUAAUGAAUUUGAAGCCAUUGGGUGAUUGUUGGAUAGAUUGACGAAGUCGCUCCAUUUCAUUCCGAUCAGAAUGGAUUAUCCGUUAGAGAGGCUAGCUGGGUGUAAUUGGAGAAGAUUGUAAGUUUGCACGGUAUUCGGCGUCGAGUUUGUCUCGGACAGAGAUCCUAGAUUUACAUCGAAGUUCUGGGAAGGUUUGCAGGAAGCUUUGGGAACUUAAGCUGAAGAUUGAGUUCUGCAUACAUCUCCGCAGACUGAUGGACAGACUGAGAGACGAUUCAGUCAUUAGAAACUUUAAGAGCUGUGUUUUGAAAAAGGAGGUGCUUGGAUGUUUUUGCCUUUGAUUGAGUUCACCUACAACAAUAGUUUUCAUUCGAGUAUUGGUAUGGCACCGUUUGAGCUUGUGUAUUGUAGGAGAUGUCGGACACCAUGUUGUAUGAGUCCGGUGAGGGCUGUGGUUGGACCGGAAAUGUGUUCAACAAACUACAGAAAAGAUACGUGAUGAUUCAGGAGAAGAUGAGAAUUGCCAGAGUCGUCAAGAGUUAGCAUGAUAAGAGGAGGAGUCACUUGAGUUCCAAGAGGGAGACCAUGUGUUUCUUCGUGUUACUCCGAUAACUGGUGUUGGUCGAGCUUCUUGAAGUCGAAGAAGUUGACACCUCGAUUUAUUGGUCCUUAUCAGAUUUUGGAGAGGAUAGGAGAGGUAGCCUAUCGUAUCGCUUUACGCCGUCGCUUGCGAAUGCAUGAUGUUUUUCAUGUGUCUCAGUGAGGAGGAUACGUUCAGGAUCCGUCGCAUGUAGUCCAAGUAUGAUGAUGUACAGGUGAGAGAUAACUCACUGUCGAAACAUCACCUAUGGGAUUGAGAUCGAGAGUUGAAGCAGUUGCGGGGUAAAGAGAUUGCCUUGGUGAAGGUAACUUGGUGGAGGGACCAGCAGGUGGCAAUGUGACUUGGGAACUUUGAGAGUCAGCAUGAAGGAGCUUAUCGCGAGUUGUUCGCUUGAGGUCAUGUUUGCGAGACCAAAACUCUUUUAGUGGGGGAGGUUGUAACACCCCGAUAAUUAUAUUUAUUAAAUAAUAAUAUAUGUUAUUAUUAAUAGAAUAUUUGAAUUAUUAUUAUUAUUUGGAAAUAAUUAUUCGGAUAAUUAUUAGUGGAAUAAUAUAUUGGAGUAUAUAAGUUGGAAUAUAAAAAGUCCCAAUUUUGGAAAAAGUUUUCACAGUAAAAGGGAAAAGAGGCAGAAAGAGGGCAAAAAGGACAAAGAACGAAGGUUGAAGGAAGGAAGAGCUGGAGCUCGAACGCGCCGGAAAUAUAAGGGGUUAACUCAGAUAAGGGUAUUAGGAUACAGGUCGCGGGAUAGGAGGCACCAUAUGUACCUGGAUUGGUGAUCUUAAAUUAGUGAUUAUGCUCUUUGAAAAUAUUGUGUUUCUGUUUGUUGGGAAAAAAACUUUUUGAGUAAAAUGAAAACGAAAAUUUGGAUUAAAUGACGAAAUUCGUAGGAAUUAGAGUAGAAAGGUUGAAAUUUGUGAAAUCGAAGUGUAUAGUGUUAGAUGAGAUGAAUGAAUUGCGUGUGGAAUUUGGACGUAGAUUGUGAUUGGGUAGUGACAUCGGCUAGUAAUGAAGAGCCAUGGACACGAUCUGAAUUGAAUGCUGAUAUCUCUGGUCCAUACGCGUAUGGCACUAGCGCAAUACGCGUAUGAGAUGUUGUACGCGUAUGGGGGGAAGCCUUACGCGUAUAUGGGUGGAAAGAUGGCAUUUUUGAACGUGAAUUGGUCUCUGUUGGUAACGCGUAAUGGGAGUUUGUUACGCGUAGCGUACGCGUAUGGGACAGGUGAUACGCGUAUGAGUUGGGCGAGGAAAUGCGCAAUACGCGUAUGAGAGUAGGCAUUACGCGUAUGGAGUUGGCCAGGUUUGGGGCAAUACGCGUAUGGCUAUGGGCAGUAACGCGUAUGGCAGAGUUGGGAUUUUCAUGAACUGUUGUUGUGCAGUUUUUUGUUGUUUAGGCUGAGUGAUGUACUAGCUGAGAUAUGAUGUUGUAGGGGUCAAUUCCCGUUGUUUUGAGUGGAUAGGUAUUAGUAGAGCGGGCUAAUAUUGUGGUUGAUUAUGUGGCAUGAUAUGAUGUGCUUUGUGAUUAAUUAUGUUGAUGAGGUGUGAGGUACAUGAAAUAAUGUGAAUGUAUACGUUUGUGAAUAGACUGUAUUAUGCUUAGAGUGUGAGCAUGUGUCUAUUCUGAUUAUGUUUGAUGUUGCAUGCUAGGUGAUUAGCAUGCAUGUUGUGGCCCAUUUGGGGUGGUAGCUAAUUCCCAUUGGUGAGGAAUUAGUGAGUAAUCAUUUGAUUGUUGUUGUUGAUGUUUGCAUGCUAGGUGAUUAGCGUGCAUUUUAUGGCCCAUUUGGUGGUAAGCUAUUCCCAUGGUGAGGAAUUAGUGAGUGAGUCACUAUGCCAAUGAUGGGACUAGUGAGCUUGGUAGCCGUGAUCUGGAUUGGACGGUGAGGUUGAACUAUAUGUUCACAAAUAGUCGGUACCGCUGUCAGCAUCUCAUGUCUCAUGCAUGUAUGAAUGUAUGUGAUAUGAUCUGAAGAUGUAUCCAGUGUUAUGUGUGUGUUGUGAAUGAUUGAAUAUGAUGGAGAUUUGUACUGUUGAGUAUGAUGUUUGAUGGAUACUGUGCGGAAUGCGUAGUCUAAUAUGGGUGAACUAAUGUGUUAAUUACUUGGCAUUACAUGUUGUUCUAUAAUGCUUAUUAAUUGAUUGAGGAACUCACCCUUACGCCUAUUUUUCAGGUAACGAGAAAUGAGUGAGUAGAAGCUAAUGCUUGGAGUCUAGAGUAGUUCUUAUGGGUCAUGCUCUGAUAGAUGUAACAUCGGGAGGGGAGUGUCUUAAUGUGAUUGUGAUAUUGGUGUUGAUGAUUACAUGUAUUGUGUUACAUGUUUCCAACAGUCGAGAGUUAAUUUUAUUCCAGCUGCGAAUUAUGCAAAAGAAUCUUAUUUUGAUUAAAUAAAUGAGCAUGACAGGACAUUUUGAUAAUUUUGUGAAAUGAUUGUGUGACACCCUUCGGGGCAUAAGUACUCUGAUGAAUUUAUUGUUAUUUUAAUUAUAAUAAUUUGGGGUAUUUAGAAGGGUGUUACAGUUGGAGUUUGUUAUUCUCUGUUCUCUUUGUUCUCUCAUCUUAAUCUUCUUCAUCAUGAGAAUUUAAAAUUGAAGUCAUUAAUGAACACUCCAAAAAAAAAAAGUGAUUAUGGUGAUUGGUGUAAUGGUGUUUAAGGAAGAAGAAAAUGAUAAAUAGGAAGCAUCUUCUAGUUUACUAACUUUAUUAUUUUGUAUUUUUUUUAAUUUAUUAAUUUUUAAAAUAAAGUUAGAUUAAAUAAAUAAACAUAAGAAAAAAUAUAAAUGGCAUGUAAACUAGAUUAACACACGUGGCCUCUUCCCAUGUUAACGUGCCAAUAAUUAAAAAAAAUACACAUCAUCACUUUUUUUUUACCAAAAAUAGAAUAGAGAAUUAAAACUGUUUAAAAAUAAAAUAAAAAAGUUAAUUUUGUGAAUUGACGAGAGAUUAAAAUUUUAAUUUAACCAAUAUAUUUUAUAUUACUUAUUUACAUAAAAUGCUUCAAUUUCAAUUUUACUUUUGCUUUAAAUCUGAUACCUACAGUCCAUUUUUGGUUUGGCAUUAUGGCCCGACUUAAAGCAAAGUUAAAAAAUAUUAUUUUAAGUAUUUGAAUGUUUUAUAUUAGUUAAUUUGAAUUCAAUUACGAUAAAAUAAAUAAAGAUUUUAUUUAGUCAUUAUUUAAUCAUGACAAAUCUAUUAUAAAAUUUAUUUAUAUAUAUAUAUUAUAUUAUAUAUAUAUAUAUUAAAUGUAAGUCUCCAUAACGUAAUCCAUUUUACAUUCUCUCAAAAAUCUGCAUAAACAAAAAUAUUAAGUAACUGAGAGAAAAGGGAAGUCUAGUUUAGAUGCAUCAUUUCAAAAAUACGCUUACUUAGAUCAAUACAUUUGAAAAUUCCAUAAAGUACCGAUGUAGGAGUGGUAUGCAAGAAGAACCAAGAAGAGAGUGGUGCGGUUUUUUAUCACUCCUCUUCUGUUACUCCCAUGGAGAAUACUCCUUGGUCACCAUUCUAGUGAAAAUCAUAUUCCGUUGGCAGAAAAUAAGAUAAUAGUUGCUUUUGAAUCAAAGCAAUAAACCCAAGAAAAUGUAGUUCAAAAUAUUUCCACUUUCUAUUCAGCUCUCAAGCUUUUUCCUUCUUGUUUCAAAUUUUUAAGCCAUCCACUAUAUCCAUACUAUUCAAAUUAUACCUAUCUUACAACUUCAAUAACAUUUUCAAGUCCCUCAACUUUUUAUUUUCGUAUCCCAUUUACUCUAUUCAAUUCAAUUCUCUAGUUCCUUCAGGUGGAAAAGUUAACCCUCCAAAUUGAAAACAUGAGGAAGACAACAGCAAACUUUGUAAACAUAGAAAGACCCAUUCAUAUCAGUAUAAUAAAUGUCAGUAUAGUAAAUGUCAUCAUCACAACACAGAUUAAAAAAAAACACAUUAAAGAAAACACAUUAUGGAGAAAGAAAACCUUCAAAAUCACACAACAUACAUGACAUCAUGUUAGCUACUAAUGUGAAUGAUUUGGAUUGAUCAGCAUCUCUCUUCAUACUUUCCAACAUUAUCCUCUUCGUCUAGUUCUUCUUCAUUUUCCUGAUGCCAAAGGCCCUGCAACACCUAUCAUCAUAAAUAAAAUAAUCAGAUAAGAAACUAAACAAUAAAGGUGAUCUAACAAAACAUAUAUAAAUCAUAAGAGAAACUUACUAUCAUCAACAAGUCGAAACCAGACUUUCAGCAUAAUGCCGAGCCAAAAUCCAAUAUAAGUUAUUGGUCAUUCUAGUUUUAUCUACUACUCUAUUAUCUCUCUUGUUAUAGCGAAUUGCAUAUCCUUCCUCGCUUGCCCAUAUCAAUGCAUCACCAUUCUCAAAAAUGUAUAAUGGCAACAAAGGAAUGUAUCGGAAAAAAAGAAACCAAGGAAGGAGAUGCUCAUAGCUAAACUUAAGCAAUUUAGUCCAAGACUCUUCAACUCCAAAUUCCCUCAUUUGCCAUAUAACAAAAUUAUCUCCAUUCGAAUGAUGAGAAAAACAAAGACAAUCCAUCAACGCAGAUAAAGUUGGCAUGGAUAACUGCACUUCAUCGAAAACCUUAGGAGGCAUCAACUGUUUGAAUGUCUCCGUUCCCAAAUCAAGAGAGAUAAUCACAAAUUUGUCAAUAGUAAAAUACUCCCAAUCAUAAUCAAAAUAAGUCAUGUCGCGAAAGGCGAACCAGUUAAGACUAUUAUUCAAAUAUACACCGCCAUUCACAUGGUUGCGAGGAUUUAUAUAAGGAUAAACCGGAAAAGUUUGAAUGUUUCUCCAAACAUUAUCGCCCAAAGUGAAAACCCUAACCUCGUUGAGACGGAAGGCCAACACCUUGUAUUUAGAGGUUAAAUGAUCAUAACCAAAUGAGAAUUUGAAACAAGAAUGGGGAUUCUUUAGUGGAAGAGAAAAAUAGCCUAACUUUUUAGACAAUGAUUUCGUAGCGGGGUUGAAGAAAGAGAGAUAGCAUUCUUGAGGCCAAUUGUAGACAGAAACAUGAAGAAAGCAUAACAGUCCAUUGCAGCAACCAACGAGCAAGUUACUGUUGUUUAUGAAUCGGUUGUCAGUAAUAUCAUUGGCGAGAGUGAUAGAUAGUUUCUCGAGAAAACGGAGGGUGGGGAAGUGGUUGAGUAGGGUAUAUUUUGAAAAGUGUGAGGAGAACAGCGUUAGGGGAAUGUUUUGGGAAGAUUUGAUGAGGUGCAUGUUGACGAAGAAUGGAUCGGAGAUGAGUGAGUUCCAGGAUUUGCUCACACAUUUGAACCGCAUCAGAGAUUUUACUUUGAGCAAGGAGAGUACUUCGGCGAUGAGAUCGUCCGGCACGGUGACUGGAACUAUGAUCAUAGUUGAACCCUAACGGCGGCAAGGCAAACAAAUUGAAAAAGCAGUUUAACUUUCUGUUCAAAAAGAAGAAGAAAUAUUUGCCUUUUUUUAUUGAUAAAAUUCUUUAAAAAGUGAAUUUUUUUUUUAAUAUUCAGAAUUUUUAAAAAAAAUUCAAAAAUACACAUUUUUUAAAAAAAUUUACAGGGCAAUUUUUGUCAUAAUAUACACCUAGGCGCCACCCUAGUUGGCGCCUACCCUUAAAGGGUAGGGCAAGUCGCCACUAGGAGUGGCGCCUACCCUUAAAUCUUUUUUNCCAUUUCAGAUUUCAUGGCUUCUAGCCACUUCUCAGACUCGGGACCAGUUAUGGCCUCUUGGUAGGUCACAGGCUCAUCUUGAUCCAUGAGUAAUACAUCACCUUGAUCAGUUAUGAGAUAUCCAUAUCUCUCAGGUUGGUGACGUAUCCUGUUUGACCUAUGCUGGUCUUGUUCUACUUGAGCAGGUUGCUCUUCCACAACUACUUGUGUUUCCUGCUCUAAUUCCUCCAUAAGUGUAUCGAUGCUUUGUGAUUCUUGAAUUUCUUUAAGCUCUACUUUCCUCCCACUGAUUCCUUUGGAAAUAAAAUCCUUUUCUCGGAAAACUCCAGUUCGAGCGACAAACACUUUGCCCUCAGAAGGAUUGUAGAAGUAAUACCCUCUUGUUUAUUUAGGAUACCCCAUAAAUAAGCAUUUGUCAGAUUUGGGCUCAAGCUUAGUUGAAAUUUGCCGUUUCACAUAAACUUCGCAACCCCAAAUCUUCAUGUAAGACAUAUGUGGUUUCUUACCACUCCAUAUCUCAUAUGGUGUCUGGCAUAGACCGUGUCAUCCUUGUCCAGUUCAAUAUUGGGCCCAUAGACAUUUAUCCUGUUACGCAGGAUGGGCAAAUUCCAUCUAGGUCACUCAUGUCCCUUAGCAUGCUUCGUGGAGUAUCCAUCAGCUAUCUUUAUGGUCAUCCAAUUACGGACAACGUUUGAUAAGCAAUAAGGCACUCGACUUUACAUCUAGGAUCCAUAGUGGUUUCAGGUCGAAGGGUGGUAUACACCAUUAUCACCAUGGGAAUAACUUAUGACACUUUGCAUAACAUUCUAUAUAGUAUUCUCAUAGUGGGUCAAUCCAGUAUAAAUAUUACUCUUAAUAUUCAUACCUAUGCUUAAGACUUGAUAACUCCUUAUCCAUGAUCCAUGAGAUGUGAUCACCAGUCUAUAUACAUAAUAGUCUUAAUGCUUUAAUGUUAUCCCACUUCACAAUAAAGCUCGACUACGGAUGCUUUAAGAAUAAUGUCCUUAUGUUUAAUAUGAUCUCAUGAUUAAGUCACACUUGAUACAUUAAACGGACUAGCUAUUCUAGGGACUUGGGCAUUUUCCCAAUCUUGCUUCUAAACAUAUUAAUUCUUUUAUUAAUUUGUUUAGUUAAGCUGACUCAUUGUUUAACAUUGGAUCUUACAUGUUCCGUAUCGCCCUUACUAAUAUGAACAUGCCCCUCGCGUAGGCGAACCUACUUAUUGAUACUAGUCUUGAUGGUGCUAAAACUUGGAAAGUUCUAAAACGUAUAUUUAAUUUGAGGGAAUUUGCCAUUAUUGAUCUCAGCCGGCUUAUUUAUCAUAAAAUCGUCUCUCAAUCGCGAUCAACAUACUUCACUGCAUCAACAUACAUAUAUAAAUGAAACAGUUAUGGCCCCUAGCGCAAUUGUUCCCAAGCCAAUGAGAGAACCAAGCUACCUAAUAACGAUCUAAGCUUUCUCCAAGCAGAUCUUCAAGGUGUCCGUCCUUUUGAUAUGAUUUCUCUCUUUCUUCAGUAACAUUACAUUACGUAACAAGAACUCGUAUUACAUUACGAGGGAGGGGAGAUAGAAAAAGAAGUUAAUUAUGGAUUAAAAGAGGCACGACACGCAGCGUUGUAUUUUAAAAACCCAAAACAAAUAAGGAAACUAAGGCCAUAACCGAUCACCACAAGACAUAUAUAUAAACACCUUUAUUAUAUUAUUAAGUUUAAUUCUUUUAAUUAAUUAAAACCAAUAAAGGGUUCGGCCGGAUCCGAUCAUACUACGCAGAGUUAGCCGGGGGUCCGACUGCCCGGUCACAACUCUUGCCGCGUCACACCCUGAAUCCCAUAACUCUUUGACAACCAACCUAUGUGCCGUCAUUAACCCCUAAUGCAUAAAACUCUUUGAACACACAACCCUUGUGCCGUCAUUUUACCCUAAUGCACCAGUUCAGACCGUCAAACACAAUCUCGAUUGUUGAUUCAGUUGAUGACAAUACCAUCCAUGCUUCACCAUACGUAUGAUCGGAUCAAGAAGCAAAGACCAUGAUCGCUAAAGGGAAACAACCAUUAAGUGUUGAAUAACAAAAACAGAAACACGUAUAUCAAUAUUUACCGUAUUUUUGCAUCAGGACUUACUUAUAUCAUAUAUAUAACUUUGAUCGAUUUCUUAUUUAAUUAACUCGUUUAUUCUUUGAUUCACUUUCUGCCUUUAGCGUAUUAAUACAGAAAAUAACAUAGCUUCUGCAUGCAUGGUUUCGUAAGUGGCUUUGAUACCACCACAUACACCUUAAACUUAAUUGCUCAAGCUGAGAGAGACACAUACAUGGUUUAAGUUGAACUGGGAAGAGCCUUAUUACAUAUGUGCAAACUUACCGACCCGAUACUGGUCAUUGUAUUCAAGCCAAUUAGAUGUCUUAUAAUCAACUAAGGUUACACCCAUAUCUUAACAUGCCAAUCACCGAUUCAAGGUCUUUACAUAUACAAACCUUAACACCUUCACAUCUUCAUUCCUUUGGAGGCCUUUUCUUUCCUUCUGGUUGCGGACCGUAUGUCUCAAAUAAAACUUCAAUCUGUCUCAACCAUGCAUCUGCCUAGGUAUGCAGACUCCCAAUACAUAUUAGUGCCUAUACCCACACAUCACAAAUUUACACCUCUCGACAUGUCAAUUCUUUGACAUAUUUUUCCUACAACUAAACUUUUCAAAAACCUACACCACCACCAUCUCUAAACAUAAACCAACAUACCACAACCUCUUCAUUACCAUUAUACAGGAUCCUUCAACAAUCAGCAAUCGAGGGCACCUGAUAUGCCCUAUAAAUAGGAUGCUCUUUUGCCCUUCAAUACAAUGUCAGUUAAUGAUUAACUUAUACUCCUAGUUCUGUUUUCUUACACCUAUUGCACUCCUAAUACCUUUGCAGCCCCUACAUUACUGAACACAACAAAUCAUCACAAGUCUUAGAAUAAUAUAUUCAAGCAAAAAAAGAUGUACAUUGCAUAGAACCAUCCUCUACCUGGAAUUUGAACCUUCAAAUUUCUUGGAUUAAUGAAACAUGCUCAUUGCGUAAGGGAAUUGUCGCAUGAAGUUGAAGCAUUAAUAAGGAAUGGCGCACAUUCUAUCUUAUACCAGCCUAGCAGGCAAAUAUUGUUGAUGCAAAUGGUUCUUUCACAUCAGAUAACUAGUUCUGGUUCCAUGCUCGCCGCAAGCAACCCAUUGUUGUCAAGGGUUUCACACAAUGUCUGGCUUUGACAUUCAGGGACAUCACACCAGUUAUUCACCCACAAACAAUUAAAUUAUUCUUACUCUUGCUAAUCUCUCUAGUGGUCAAUGCACAACUUGAUAUGAACAUGCAUUCUAUACAAGGAGCUCCUUACUUGAAGAGGUCUUCAUGGAUCAACUCAGGUAGUUCGAGGACGCAUCACACCCCACUAUGUAGGUAAACGGCACAAAGCAUUUUAUGGCCUACAUCAAGCACGUGACGGCAUGACUGCUCUCUCAAGGUUUCUAUCGCGUGCUGAUUCAAUAGAAAAAGGAUCCAUCUUUGUUCUUUUAUCACUUGGGUGAUACUAAGGCUUAUUUUCUAGUCUAUGUAGAGGAUUGCUACCUCACUCGGUAACACUCUAUAUUCCUUGAAGCUGUCAUCAAGGCAUAGCUUAACGAUUUUUGUUGGAAAAUGUGGGACAAGCUACUCUUUCUAGUAUUUGAAAUGAUACCAACAAGCUCGUGGAAUUUUCUUCUCAACAUCGGUACAUUCGUGACCUACCUCCAAAGUUUACAUGCAAGGGGCAACCAUCUCCCACACAAAUACUUUCUUCCCAAUUAUGCUGCAACUUCACGAUCGGUUACAUAUCGCUGGUGCAAAAAAUUCGGAGCAUAAGGAUCUCUAUUAUAUGAACAUAACAGAGUCGCCACCGAUAUUAUUUUAUUCCAAAGGGGUAAGUGGAAAAAUCGAAUUUAAAGCCACAAACCAAAAAAGAAAUCUCCUUGCAACCAAAUGGUGUUUCGGGAGUUCGGUUAUGCGAAAGGAAUGUAUCUAACACCCCUCACAUCCAACCGAUGGGAUCCAUUAGUUAGUUUCUGCAGGGUCUUAGGUGAUAUUUGUUUGCGAUCAUCUACUAUCGAGUGUGAAGGAAAGAAGACAUUUUUAUUAAACAUGGGCUGUUUUUACGAUUACUGUGUCUGACAAGAUUUCACAAUUCUUGCUCCACGUAUUUCUCGAGGUGCUAUAGAAACUCGGGCUACAUUUCUACUAAAAGAGAGCUAGCUGGAUUGAUUAAUUUUAGGAGUGUUCCUUUAGGCGUAUUGAUUGGUUAACCUUUAACUGGGUUGCUCGCUCUUGAAGGCGGAAGUCUUGUGUUUGUUGCACGUCUCGGUUAUGAUAAAAGAAUACUCAUUUCUGAAAAUGUUUUUCGGUUUCUGGGUCACUUGCAAUAGCGGAAAUCAGUAUUGAUUGGUUAAGUUGCUUUGAAAAAAGAUUUGACCUUUGUGGAGGUGAGUUAACAUUGAGCAGAGGGUGCCCAAACGCAGUGUUACUCAGGGUAUGCAUGGAUGUGUCAUUGUCCCUUAUUCCAGGUGAUUUUACGUGUUUUAAUUUUGAAAGACUAUAUAACAUUGUUAUCUGAUGUUGCUCCGACCGGCCAUCGACUAUCAAGGGUUUAAAGAGAUGUGUAUCUCUUGAGUCUUUGUCUUUUCAUUAUUUAUUACAAAAAAAAGGUUUUUGCAACGACUUGACGUUGAUCACAGUGUUGUCAGUUUGAUUAUAAGAGUUGGAUUGUGGCGGGUUUCUUUAUAUGGACUUUAGUAAACAUUUGGGCAUAGGUGUGCGCCAAGCGCUUGCUUACCAAGAUAUUAAAAAGAUGUGCUUCCGUUGUCACUUUAUGUCCUAAUUUGGAUUAGAUUCAUUUAAGACGAAGACUUAAGGCUAUUCAAGAGGUGUGCACCAAUUGUCACUUAUUUUUCGAUUUUUCCUCCCCCUCAUUAUUAACUUUAAGAUUCUCAUAUUCCUUUUUCACCAUAAUGAUGAGAAUGAGUAUUUGUGAUGAUAAUCAUAUAUUUGGGAAAGGUUUUUCUAAAAACUUGGGAAACCCACUUUCAAGAACACAUUUUCAAUCUUUUUUUGCAUAUGAAUUCAAUCUUUAAACUUAGCAAGAUUAACUUCAUUAUUGCUCCUGCAUUCUAGCUAAUGCUGCGAGCUAUUGUACAUGAGGUUCCUUCAUUAUUGAUGUUUUGUUAAAGUUCUUGAGUGACAGUUCAGAUUCAGAUUGUUGUGUGUUGGGUAGUUGCAACUCUAGUAAGAAAAGAAGAGUGUUUUCUCUAUUACUUCAGUAGAGAUGUGUGGAAUCAUAUAUAAAAAGUUGGAGUUUUUGUGUUUUUCUUCGACAUUCACGUGCAAGGUCCAGUGGACAGAGUGAGGUUAGGAAAAUGGAAUGCCCUAUACUGAUCUCUGGAAAUUUAAGUCAAUUCAUGAAUGGAUCUUGAAAAGAUCGGGACGAAAUGCACAGAGGGGAUUAAAUAGAGCUAGACUAUUCUUCAGAGUAUCUUGUAUCAAGUGGUCUGUAUUAAUUUCUGUAAUAAUGUCAUUUAUCAUCUUCUAGUGGAGAAAAAAUUUCCAAUUGGGAAACCAUUGAAAAGUGGAUUAAGCUCAUGCAUAACGUAGAGAUGACCAUUAGUAUUCCCGUGUACUUCUUCUUCUUAUUUCUCUCUACAUCAGUUUAUCUCUCUUUAAUUUUCUUUAUAAUUUUACAGGUUUAGGUUUUGUCACUUUCUAGGAACAGGUUGUUAGGAUUAGGAUCUGCUUUUAGCGAAUUUGUGAUUAAAGGUUUUAGGUAUGUGAUAUAUCUAGUCAUUUGAACAUUCUCAUCUUGAGAUUAUUGAUGUAUUGAUUCUUUUUGUUAGAUUGUUUCAUUAGAUCAUAUUCAAUUGAGCUUUGUGGGGAAAAUGAUUGAUAUCAUUAUUGAUUCCUGUUUAAGCAAAAUUCACAUUUCGCGUUGUUUUGGUUUAUGAUAAUCGAGUUAACUAUAAUGUCUAUUUAAUCUUAUGAUUUAUUAAAAGGCAACAAUGUUUUCUUCCGUUUGUCAAUGCUAUCAUGUAACAACAAUUAGCCUUAGAGCAUGUAUUUGCACAUCCGGUUGGAAACUCUAAUUUUAUCAAAAACGAUUUAAAAACAUAAUAAUUUUAGGAUUGGUUUAUAUAUUCACCCUCUAAAACCGUUUCAAUCCCCAUAUCCCUAUUCCACAUUAUGAUUUGUUCCCCCUGCGUGGGGAGAAGGAAUACCACACACACACAUAUAUAUAUAUAUAUAUAUAUAUAUAUAUUAUAUUUAAUAUAUUAUAUAUAUAUUAUAUCUAUUAUAUAUUUAUAUAUAUAUUAUAUAUAUAAUUAUAAUUAGAUAUGAAUCGGGUUGACAUAGGGUUAGGAAACGUCUCAUGGUAGUAACUACUACCCUCCUGACUAGGGGGACUGUUGAUUACCUUUAUUUUCCUAAGUUUCAUGUGUAUGACCCCUUCUCGUAUGGCUAACGAGAUUAAAAUAACAUACACGUCAUUCGCCAUAAGCGGCGCCCCCCACGUUCUGUGAGGAUGCCCCCUUAAUGUUUUCCCCAUGUUUGGGGACUCUCACAAAAUAUCACUUAUAUAGGCGUGGGUUCUACACCAUCAGUUGUGGAUGUGAACGUGUUUGAGAAAAAUUCGCUUGAUUCGAACGAUGGAUUGAGGUUUCGUGCGAAACACACUGGUUACGUCUUCUGACGAUGAUGCAUCAGGAUGAGAGUGAAGCUUUAGUUCUUACAUCAGUAGUAUGAGAAUGCACAUGAAGAACAAGUGAGAAGGUACCUGGCGACAUCUCUAGAGGGAAUUUGAUCAUCAUGAAUGAAAGUCUGUGGAGAAUCACUCUUAAAGAAAAUAUCUUGAUAGAUACUUAGAUUUAUUUAUCCUUUUUUGAUAUUAACUUGUUGUAGGCAAUUAAACAUUUAAGCCUUUAACACAUUGAUCAUUGAAGAGCUGCAAGUAGUCUAGAGACACAGAGUUGCGUCUGACUGGAGAAAAACAAAUCUUGAAAUGGAGGAUAGAGCAGCAGCUCUGAAAGUAGUUCUUGGUAAGGAUAUCAGAAGUGGCUUGUCAGAAUCUAGGAGAGGUGACUAAUGGUGUUCAGACAGUUCAGGAACCUCAAUAUGGAAGGCAAAGAGAAGAGUGCUCAGAAGGGUAAGGAGAAGUAUGCAGAGGAAAGUUCGAUGCUAUUAUUGUAAGAAGUUUGGUCACUCGUGUUGGCUCAUAUUUUUUUGACCGCCCAUUAAGAUUACCUAAAAUAGAAUUUCAUUUGGCACAACUGUUUAUCGCAGGAAGUAGUAUAUUCGACAGCUGGGGGAGUCGACUGGCUAGGUAAUAAGAUCAAGGAUAAACUGAAACAGCCAGAGGGUUUCUUCAGAGACGGGGUUGAAACAGGUUUUCGAUCAAAUAUUUCAAAAAAUUAAAUUAAGGGAGGGAACUGCCUUGUAGGAAACCGUGAGAGCACCGUGGACAUUGGAUGAAUACGCGGCAUGCAAGGCGCCAGGAUGUCUCGACAUGAUUGAAGAACCAUCAAAGCCAGUUAUCUCGACAUCCAGUAUCAUCAUGGGGUCUUAGGGUUAGAAAAGUGCUGUGGUUGAAUUGUGUUAUUAAUUCUGUUACUGUCAAAUUUCACUAAGUUAUCUUCGUGUGAGAAGACCGUAAAUUCACAAAAUGUACGUUGUAUACAACCAUUUAGUCAUUUCAAGCAUACUAAAUUUGUCUUACUUUUUUUCCAGGAAUAUAUUUCCUACUUUUCAUUUCAAACCCCCUCCUUUUACUUUGAUUCAUGUUGCCGUUUUAGAUAUCUUUGUUUAUUUCCCUACUUUAAACACUUACGUUACAGUUUUAAGAUACUUCACUUUCGAAUUUACUUUGUCAUUUCAAAUCCUGUAUGAAUUUCUUGCGCUUUAACCUCACCCUUUUCUAUUAGUAGUUCAACUCUGAAUUGAUGCUUAUUAUUGAAGUAUGGUUACUGACCACAUUCCAUUUUCAAAAAUUAAUUGGCACAUGUCCUUGUCAAUCUGACUGAUCCUGCAAGUAAACCAAAUUUUAGAAUUUUGGAAGAUCAGCGGUGUUAUACCGAUUUUCAGUACAAGAAAUUGGCACACCCAGUGGGACAAGUGGCUAACGUUACGUUGUGUGUGUUCUGAGUGGUUAGUUCUUUUUUUUGGGGGGGGGGAGGCGGCAGAUUCGCGUAUGUAUUAGAGUGGUAAAAUAAGCCUAAAGACGAAACAUGAAUAGGGAGAGAUCCCAUAAGAGGAUGGAGAACUAUUGGAAUCGCCAGAGAACCCAAAACUCUUCAAAUCCACCAACUAGUAACUAACGCCCCCUUCCUCCCUCCGAUAGCGGCAAAACACGGCCACAUCGCGUGUGUCCGAAUCGUUCCAUUAUAUGGUGAGUUCCGGUGCCUACGCAUUCGAUCUCCCAUACUGAACCAAUUUUAACUUUACACUGGCUAGGGCCUCCUCUAUUCCCUCACCAAUUAGAGACUACUUCUAAUAGUGAAGGAUAAUAGCGAUCCAAAAGCAGCGGCGGAAUUUAAAAUUUCUCCUUUAGUUGAUCCUUACGACUGGCAUGUCGUGAUAGAAUUAUUACCCUUGUGGCGAUUCGAACCUUGAUGCAGAUCUACGAGCGAUUCACAAAGUUGAAUUGUGACAACGCCUCUACUCAAUCCACACGACACGAUUCCCUUAUCUCAGUGCUAGCUUACUCAUGAAUGAGCUUUGAGUGGUGUGUGUGUGUGUGGUAUGUGUGUGUUUUGUGGUGUGUGAGAGAGAGAGACGAGUAGAAGGAGAGAUGAGAGAGCGAGAGAGAGAACCAAAAUUACCAACGUGCACAAAAUGCUUCUGCACAGGUUCUUAUUUAUGAACCACUUGUGUGGACUGCAAAGCCCUUAAAAACCAACUUAAGUCGUAUGUGGCCCAUCUUAUGAAUAUGCCAAAUCAUUUAAGAGUGUGGUACUACCAUUGUUGUAUUCUACUGUACACGUACCUUACAAUGUUCUAUUUCACUUAGUGCACUGUACUACAUUGUUCCUUAGUUACUCUAUCUCGGCAUCAUCCAUACUUUUGUGUGUACCCUGUAGUUCUUGGAGAUUAGCAAUCUAUAUUUAAUCCGCUAUUAACAUAAUAAAAUAGUGAGCGAUAUUAGCACAUAUCAUUUGUUACCCAGACACGAAAAUGUCAUGUGACUCGGGACAAAUCCUUUUGUGUAAUACUAUGUUAUAAUUCCCGUUUUUCCCUAUAUGUCUAUAUUGACCACAAAGCAACAAUUAUUCUUUAUUAUAAAUGAAAAACCAAACUUGUCCAAACAAGAAACGGAAAUAAUAUUCCUGCUAAUUGCAGGUACAUAAUAACAGUUCUCUAACUGAAUUAUUAAACCGCUAGGUAAAGUCAAUACAUAAGUUCCUACGGCUAAAGCAGCAACCUUUGCUCAAUUUCCAACUCGUAGGUCGACUUCACCUUUUGCCAAAUCUCUACUCCUUUUUAGUCCCUGCACAUUGGUACAAAUGUGAGAACCGCAUCCAGUAUCUAAUACCCAUGAUGCAGAAGUAGAUAAACUAAUUUCAAUAACAAAAAUACAUGAAGUUGAAGUCUCUACUCCAUUCUUCUUAUCUUCCAAGUACUUUGGGCAGUUUCUCUUCCAA
rnacentral:lncRNA from 1 species